rnacentral:lncRNA from 1 species
GUAAAAGGUAUUUUAGCUCACCUAAAAUGAGAUAUUUAUGAUCAAACUUAAUGUAAUUAUUAGAAGUAAUAGGUUUGGAUUAGGUAUCUCAUUGACCCACCUAAAAAAUUUUAAUCAACACCCAAAUUGAAAUAACAAAAGAAAGAACCAUUCCAAUAAUGAAAUUAAAGAAGAAAAAUGUAUCAUUAUUUAUUUCACAACAAUAAUCAAAUAACAAUAAUACAUAUGUCCAUGAAUGCUAAAGUCCAAAUGAAAAAAAAACAAAGAGAUAAAAUAAAAUAAUAAUACUCAAAAAAAUAUAAUAUAUCUACCAAUCAAGAUGACAACUAGUUUCUUUAAAAUUACCAGAUCUACCAUUAGCCUCCAAAGGUACCUUAAAAUCACAUUCAAUUUUAGGCUUAAUUUUGUGAGUUUUAAUCCAACCAAUCUUUAGCCUAAUACGCAUAUUAAGCUUCACUUCAAUCUCAUAAACCCCUAAAUUCUUCUCAUUAAUAUAAUUUGAUUUCUCUCUAUCUCCCAAUAAAACCAAACCUUGUCCUUUAAACACCGGAUGCAAAUUGCUAGUAUUUUUGUGACCUUGAUAAAAUGGUUCCAAAUUUUGACUAGCAAAUCUCUGACCACCAUAUAUAGCUCUUGCUUCUAUCGAAUCGUAGUAAAUCCCAACGCGCUUGUUAGGGUUCCUAAUAGUCAUGUUGAGGGCUAGAUCAUAGUAGAUGGUGUUGUUUGUGGUGGAAUAAUCGAAUUGUGUCAACGUGGCAUCAGUAACAUAGAAUUUGACCUUGUUAGGACGUAGGACUAGCCAAAGGACUAACGCGAUGACUCCAAUGAUGAUGAGGAGGGUGAAGAUGAUUUGGCAAAUGCAAGUGCAUAGACAGUUGAAGAGACAACUACAUGGGUUGCAACAACUACCACCACCGCGACUACGGUGGUAGGUUUUGGUUGGUGGUGGAGGAAUUGAGGGGCCAUAAUAGGCUCCGUUUAAGUUAGGUUCUGGUGCCAUAACUUAAACAAAGGAAUACAAAAGAUGUGUUGAGUUUUUUUUGUGUUUAUGAGGAUGAUGUUUUAGUGGAUGAAGAUGAAUUAUUUGUAUUUUGGUAGGUAUAUAUAGGUGUAAAUUGUAAUAUGGAUAUGUGUGUUUUCUUUGUAUGAUUUAUAAAUAGAAGAAAAAGGCCGUGUUUUGGAGGUUGAAGGACGCGCUAGUUUAUUUAUUGGUAGUUUCUUAGAAAUUAUAUUGUGACUAACAAUUAUGUAUAUUAAGUCAUUGACUUGGUAUUUAGUCAAGACUUCUAUUAGGCUAUAGAUGAAUACUUGGUCAAUCUUUUAUGAUUUUGAGUGAUUCUCAUGACUAGGUGUGUACAUGACCGGGUUGGUUUUGAGUUUUUCAAAUAUCAAACCAAAGGCCAUUUGUGUAAAAAAAUUUAAUUUAUAAACCAAACCAAACUAAUAAAAUUUAGAUUUUUUCAACCUCGGGAUGGUUCGGGUUUUUCAAAUACCAAACCAAACCAUUGUGUCGAAUUUUAAAUUUAUAAAUCAAACCAAACUAAACUAAUAAACCUCAGAUUUUUGGAUUUUUUUCGGUAAAGUUUGCAUACAAACAUAUAAUUAACUUGUGUUCCAAAUAUUUCUUUAGUCCAACCAAAAUACAAUUAUCUAAGGUGUUUUUUUAAGAAAUAACACAAAAUAUGAGAUGAGUACUGAUGACACUAAAAUAUUCAAUAAAAAGUAAUAAUGAAAUGAUAAUCAUAUAAAAUAAAUAUUGCAAAGUCAUAAUGAAAAUAAUCAUAAUUUAAAAGUACUAAAUCAUGCUAAAAUAAGUUUAAUAAGUAUUAGUUACAUUAUUAAAUAUUUAAGGAAAAAUAAAAUUAGAUUAUGUAUUUUAAUUGUCUAAAACCAAUGUAAAACUAAAGAACAAAUAUUCAAUAUUAUUGUCAUUCUUAGUGUUGAAUUGAUUUUCUUUUUGCAUUAGUAUUAAUUUGAUUUUGAUUUAAGUUUUAUUAUAAUUAUCAACAUCUAUGAACUAUAAUCUUUAUUGGACCAUUCCGAAUUCUAAGUUUUAAACUUGAAAUAAUAUAUUAAAAGAUAAAAACUAUGAAAUAGUAUAAGAAAUAUUUUAAAAUUAUAUCAAAGUAAAUAAUUUUAUGUAUAAAAUAAAAUUUUAAAAUUACAUAUAUAAUGUUGGGUUGGUUUGGUCUCGGGUUGGGUUUUUUAAGUUAAAACCAAACCAACCCAAAUAUAGUCGGGUUUUUUUUUCCAAUACCAAACCAAGUCAAACCAAAUCACUAGUCAGAUUUUUUUCCCGAUUUGACUCGAUUUACGAUUUGAUUCGAUUUUUGGUUUGGUUGUGUACACUCGGGAUUAAAACUAUAAUUUUUAUUGGACUAUUCCGAAUUCUAUGAACUAUAAACUCGAGAUUAAAUUAAGUUUGAGAUUUAUUUUGUUUUACGAGUAUUAUGAUAUCGAAGGAUGUUAAAGACUCAUAGUUGUAUUUCAAGUAGUGUCUCGAUGGGUGUAUUUUCUUCUUUUCGUUAAUGUGUAAUAUCAAGACUACUAGCCAACAGAAAAAAUCAAUUAUACAGGCAGAAGAGCUGAUUUGACCGUGAAAAUCAAAUACGGACAAAAUUUAUUUAAAGUGUUAGCGCUAUGCCGAUUUAAUUUGCAUACAAGAUUUAGGGAAGUGAGGGCACUCUUUCGAAUUGAAUAGGUAAAACUACUGUAUCUCCUAUUUUUUCGAAAGAAGUCUUCUAACUCGUUUAAAAACGUUGAAGAUAAGAAUAAGUUGAAUUUCAAUUCCACAAUUAUACACAUAUUGCUCAUGUGUACGUAUGAGACUUGUGACUAAAUUGGAAUCUCAAUUAGAACAUUAUGUUUCAUAUUAUGUUGGUAACUUACUUCUCGAUUUUGAGCCCCUUGGAUACGGAGUCGCCUUUGUUAGGAAGCGCUUUACCCCAAUGUGGAAUUUCUUGGCGCGAAUUCGGAUUUAGUCGGGCUCCAAUGUGGUAUCAUGGAAAAAAAAAAGAUGUUUUGAGACAACUUUUGUUGGGCAGCUGUGCUGUCUAUUUUUGCUCCACUUUCCCAAAUAUGCCAUAACACAACAACAUUAUCCUACCAAACUCUAUUUUCGUAUUCAUUAUGAAAAGGAAAAAUGUUACACUUAUCUAUAUUUAUUGAUUUUUACAACGAAUUUAUAAGUUAAUAUUAUCAUAAUAAUUAAUUGAGUUUACAAUUAAUUAUUUAUAAAUAUGAGUCUAAUUUCGUAUAUAUAGGAAAUAUUCCCUUUUAAUCCAACAAGACUUUAGUCUUUUACGAAUGUAAUAAAGCUUCACUUCCAUCUCAUAAAUCCACGAACUCUUGUCAUUGUUGUAAUUCGAUUUUUCUUUAUCUCCCAAUAGAACAAAACUCUGUCCUUUAAACACUGGAUGCAAAUUGAUAGUAUUUUUAUGACUAGAAAAUCUAUCGCCUCCAUACAUAUUAUCUCUUGUUUUAAUUGAAUCGUAGCAAAUCUCAACAUGCCUAUUAAUGGUAGUCAUGUUGAGGGAAAAAUCGUAGUAAAAGCUUUUGUUCGUGUUGGAUAAAUCGAAUUGUGUGAACAUGUCAUCUGUCACAUAAAAUUUGAUUUUGUUAGAACGUAGAACUAGCCAGAGGACUAAUAACGCGAUGAUUCCGAUGAUCAUGAGAAAGAUGAAGAUAAUUUUGAACAGGUAGUUGAAGUCGGCUACAUGGAUUGGGUUCUGGCAUUUUAAGAAAUACAAAAGUAACUAAAAUUGUGUUUAUUUUGAAGUAUAUUAUAUAUUGAAUCAAAAAUAUGUUUUUGUGUUAGAUUGGAACUAUGGAAUAUUGGUAAGCUAAAGGUGAUUAUAUAAUAAUUAAAUAGAAGAAAAAGGUAGUUUGAUAUUUUCAAAAGCACCUUCUUAGAAAUUGAACACAUUGUAACGAAGAUUGCGCGUAGUAUUUAAUUAUUUAUUAUCAAGACUAUUCUCAUUGAAAAAAUCUUCAAAUUCUUUCGUCACAAUUUAAGUGUCUUAGUUUGAUUGGAUAUGAAAUGAAAAAAUAAAGAAAAACUCUUGAUUUUUUGUAAUCUAAAAUUAAAAAUGUGUGCAAUCCUUUAAAGCUCGCGGUCUUAAUCUUGUCACAUGGAAUCUCGGACUUGGAAAACUUAAAUUGGAAUAUAGAGGGAGUAGUAAAAAUUAUUUUUGUACAUUUUCAAGUAACGAUAUAAUAAGAAAAAAGUCACUACGACAAAGAUUGUGAUAAAGUGGUAAGUCAAAGUUUCGAGUUAUAAUCCUCUGAGUACGGAGUUAUCUUUGUUAUGAAGCGCUUUAUUCCCAAAGUGGGACUUCUUGACAUGACUCCAAAUUUAAUCGGACUCCAAUGUUAAUACCAGACACCAGAUAAAAAACCACAAAAAAAAAAAUCACUAAAAUUACAUGUCUCGUACUCUUAUUUGUAGUUUACCUCUCAAGUGAAAGUACUUUUUUUCACGGACUAAAUUUGAAUUUACACCAAGAAAUCUUUCAAAUGAAAUAUUUCCUAACAAACGCGACUUCUUAUACUACUUACCUCUCCAUCACAUUUUUUUUUCGCGAUCGAUCAUUACCACUUUCAAUUCAUAUUACUCUGGAACAUACUGCGCCACCACUUCUCUAAUAAGCCAAAUCACAUCAACAUUAACCUUUGCAAAUUCUCUUUUUCAUAUUUAUUAUGAAGCCAAAACAUGUUAAUUUCACAUGCCUGGUCUUAUUGAAGUAGAAAAAUUUGUGUCACAAUCAAGACAGACAUUUUGGCAAAUGGCUUAUUGGCUAGUCACAUUCACAAGUCUCCAUCAUUUAUUCAUUUGUAAGAAAAACAAUGUCAAUAGCUUAAUGUCAACAUAAAUUGAUCUUAUAUUAAAAUGUCUAUGGUUAAUUUUUCAAUCGAUAAUUAAUCGAAGUUGACGUUAAGAGGUAUAACUCUACCUUGAAAUGACUCGAACUCAUAUAUAUCAAGUAAAUAUAGUUGAGCUACUAAUUCGAGAAUCUACAUUACACACCGUGACAUAUUCAAGAUUUUCAGUAAGGAAUCACGAAAAAUAAAAUAUGUUGUGUUUGAGAUAUGAACUUGAAACCUCGAGUGAAGUAUGAACCCCUAAUCAGUCUAUGUAUAUUUUUAAGUUUAAGGGAUUCAAAAUUUUAUAUAUAUAUUUAAUACAUUUUUUGUCGAGCGAGUGGGUUCGGGUGAAUCCCCUCCUGACCCCCUAGAUCCGCCCCUGUCUGCAGAAAAUUAACAUGAUUUUUCCCAAUAAAGGUAAAAGUAAAAGAUUUUUUGAUUAAUUGAGUAGGCAUGGGAAAAUGUCUUACUAGGGAGAUUUUUCGGACUUAUCUAUAUGACAAUAUAUUGAAUAAUGAAAUUUGUGGAUUUCUUUAACCAGGCCAGCUAUCCUUAGAAGGGUAGGAAUAUAUAUCAAAAUAGAAUUUAUAUCGAAAAAUAAUUAGAACUAUUAACAUCAAGCUAGAAAAUUCUUUCGAAACUUCCACAGAUAUUUAUAUUGGGUGUAUACUCUCUCCAUUCCGAUUUACGUAAUAGUGAUAUAAGAAACAAAAUAUAAAAGAGAAAACAAGUCUUUUAAAGCAACCAAUAUGUAUAUUUCUGUAAUGUCAACCUUAGCCUUUUCUUGACCUUUACUUUAUGUUCUCUAUGUGAAAAGCAAAAUGUCAACUUUGCCUUUUCUUCAAAAUUAAAAUUUGGCUUUAAUACACUUUAAUUAACUUCCAAACUACUAUAUUAAUAAACAAAAAACUAUAGAAUCCAAAUUCCAGGAUAAAGAAAAUCAGCAGAAAUAAAACAAACUCAUUAUUUAUUAACAACCAUAAUAUAUAUCCAAAUAACAAGAAAGGAGAUAAAUCCCCUAAUCAAGAAAUUAUACUAAUAUAAUCCAAUGAAUAUAGGAAAUACAACAAAUCACAAAUAAAAAAAAAAUAAAAAAAAAUUACCAAUCAAGAUGGCACCUAGUUACAUCAAAAUUAACAGAUCUGCCACUAGACUCCAAAGGUACCUUAAAAUCACACUCAAUUUUGGGCUUAAUUUUGUGAGUUUUAAUCCAACCAAUCUUUAGCCUUAUACGCAUAUAAAGCUUCAUUUCCAUCUCAUAAAUCCCUAAAUUCUUCUCAUUAUUAUAAUUUGUUUUCUCUCUAUCUCCC